GACGAACGCUGGCGGCGUGCCUAAUACAUGCAAGUCGAACGCAGUGGGGACGGGUGCGUAACACGUGGCUAACCUCCCAUCAGAGGGGAUAACACUUGGAAACAGGUGCUAAACCGAUACUGAUGGAUGGACCCGCGGUGCAUGAGCUAGUUAGCGAGGUAACGGCUCACCAAGGCCACGAUGCAUAGCGGAGAUUAGAGGUUGAUCGGCCACACGGGAACUGAGACACGGUCCAGACUCCUACGGGAGGCAGCAGGAGGGAAUCUUCGGCAAUGGACGCAAGUCUGACCGAGCAACGGCGCGUGAAUGAAGAAGGUUUUCGGAUCGUAAAACUGUGUUGUGUGAGAGGCGGUAUCUAACCAGAAAGCCACGGCUAACUACGUGCCAGCAGCCGCGGUAAUAC
rnacentral:rRNA from 1 species